rnacentral:misc_RNA from 1 species
AAGUCGUAACAAGGUUUCCGUAGGUGAACCUGCGGAAGGAUCAUUAUUGAAUAAACUUGGUUGGGUUGUUGCUGGCUCUCAGGAGCAUGUGCACGCUCAUUCCAUUUUUAACCACCUGUGCACUCACUGUAGGCUUGAAUGAACUUUUCGAGGAAACUCGGGUAUGAGAACUGCUCGAAGCUGUUCUUGCAUUCCAGGUCUAUGUUUUAAACAUAUACUCCAUAACAAGUUACAGAAUGUUAAUUAUAGGCCUUCUGUGCCUUUAUAAACCUAAUACAA